UAUCAUCUUCUACACCAUUGGUUGAUGGUGUUGUCAGAAUCAUAUAUAUUAAGUUCCUCUCUUUUUCUUUUCUCUUGUAUCUCUUGUCUUUUCUGUCUUUUAUUCUCUACGGUAAGUCCUAAAUCAAUACUUCAUUUCACUUUCAAAGUUUCAAGUUUCUCCCUUUCUACCACCAAAUCUCAUCCUUCUCUUUUCCACCACUCACAUCCUCGCAAGCCAUUCGAAACUUGUUGAAGGUAACACAAAACCGACAGGGUUUGACCCGCAUAGAACAAAGUAGAGUUUGCAUGUCCCUAAUUGAGCAAAAAUGAUUGAUUCGGUUCUUGAAAUAUGUUCCAUGUCUGGGUAAUGGAAAUACAGCCUACAUAGUAUUUAACUAUUAUGUUUACUUAACGGAUGAACAACUUAUCACUGCUGCUUAAAGGAAGCAUAAAGAAAUGGGUAAUAACAAUUCAGCUGCCAGAAUAUACUGGAAUGAUUAUCUGAUGAAUCAGAUUCUGGUAAUCAUAUUUAUGUCCUGCAAUGUCGCAGACCUUGCAGCUGCCUUGCUCAUUUGCAAAACCUAGAAUAAAGCUUGCCGUGGCCCAUUUCUUUGGACUUGCCUCAACUUCUUUGGAAAAACAAACAGAUUUUCCAUUUCAAUUUUGUCAUCCAGAUGUGUAAAAGCAAAGAAAUGGUACGAUGUUAGCUUGUACCAUUUGUUAGCGUGAUUACAUUGUUGAUAAAUUUCUGUCUUUUUGGAUAUUAUGCCUGGAUUUUUAUCCUUAUUGCCUAUAACAACUGUUCAAGCUAGUCAAAUAGAGAAUGCUCUUGUGAAUGUCCAUAAGCAAUGUGUGACAAAACUAGCAAGCAUGAAAGUGCAAGGAAGACUCCAAUUGUUGAUCAUAAUUUUGCCUGAUGUCAAGGGGUCUUAUGG